rnacentral:lncRNA from 1 species
CCUAUUAUUCCCCAAGUGGUUUUUUAGGGCCCGAGCGUAGCUGCUAAGCAGCUGCGAGAGCCCUCUUGUUCCUGUAGUUUCCUUCUUUUUAGGGCCCGAGCGUAGCUGCUAAGCAGCUGCGAGAGCCCUCUUGUUCCUGCAUGUUUCCUUCUUUUGUUAUUAUUAUUAUUAUUUUUCCUCCCCUUUGAACUGGAAAAUGGCCCACUUCCCACUGGCGAAAACUCAUGAAAUUUGGCAGGACGACUGGGCCUGGUGAAAAAUUUGAUAUUCCGAAGUCGCCCAAACAAGAAAAUGCAAAAUGGCUCCAUAGCGCCCCCUAAGGUGAAAAUUCACACUAUUGACUGUCACGCCAGUACGCUUUGUCAAAAUGACACAAAAAUUGACACACACAUGUAUCUCAAUAAGAUCUACAAAAAAGUCAGUGCGGGCGUAUCUGUCAAAUGUACGGUUAAAGGGUUAUUUCGCAUUUUUUGCCGAUCCGCACACAUUGGAAUUUCGCUAACUCCUCCGAAGGCUUUCGUUCCACCGGCACCACAUUUGCUCAGGCCAAUCUACACCCCAUGGCCAUUCAAAGUUAUUCAAAUCAUGACGCUGCACCCCACGGUUUAGGUUCUAGGGGGCGCCAAAGAUAACCCUAAGAUCCACAUAUUUAAAAGUCUUAUAACUUUUUAUUUUUGCCCUCACUGGCCUCCAAGUUUUCUAGGAUGGUGCAAAUGUCCAGCCAUCAACACAUUUGUGAAGGAAUUUUUACUCCCCAAAAGAGCGCCCCCCCAUGGCAGGAGAAAAAAGUCCAUUUUUUCUUGUCCCCUCAGGUGAAAAUACACAUUGUUGAGUGUUACACCUGUACGCUUUGGCAAAAUGACACCAAAAUUGACACACACAUGUAUCUCAAUAAGAUCUACAAAAAAGUCAAUGCGCACGUAUCUGUCAAAUGUACGGUUAAAGGGUUAUUCCGCAUUUUUUGCCGAUCCGCACACAUUGGAAUUUCGCUAACUCCUCCGAAGGCUUUCGUUCCACUGGCACCACAUUUUCUCAGGCCAAUCUACACCCCAUGGCCAUUAAAAGUUAUUCAAAUCAUGACGCUGCACCCCACGGUUUAGGUUCUAGGGGGCGCCAAAGAUAACCGUAAAAUCCACAUAUUUAAAAGUCUUAUAACUUUUUAUUUUUGUCCCCACUGGCCUCCAAGUUUUCUAGGAUGAUGCAAUGUCCAGCCAUCAACACAUUUGUGAAGGAAUUUUUACUCGCCAAAAGAGCGCCCCCCCCAUGGCAGGAGAAAAAAGUCCAUUUUUUCUUGUCCACUAAGGUGAAAAUACACAUUGUUGAGUGCUACGCCUGUAUGUUUUGUCGUAUUGACACAAAAUUUUACAUACACGUGUCUUUCAAUAAGAUCUUCGAAAAAGUCAAUGGCCACGUAUCUGUAAAAUGUACGGUUAAAGGGUUAUUUCGCAUUUUUUGCAGAUUCGCACACAUUGGAAUUUCGCUAACUCCUCCAAAGGCUUUCGUUCCACCGGCACCACAUUUGCUCAGGCCAGUCUACACCCCAUGGCCAUUAAAAGUUAUUCAAAUCAUGACGCUGCACCCCACGGUUUAGGUUCUAUGGGGCGCCAAAGAUAACCCUAAAAUCCACAUAUUUAAAAGUCUUAUAACUUUUUAUUUUUGUCCUCACUGGCCUCCAUGUUUUCUAGGAUGAUGCAAUGUCCAGCCAUCAACACAUUUGUGAAGGAGUUUUUUCUCGUUAAAAGAGCGCCCCCCCAUGGCAGGAGAAUAAAGUCAAGUUUUUCCUGUUCAUCAUUCAAUGGCUCAAACGCACUGCUCUCUCGGCAAAAGCGAAAGGAGGAGCAACUUGCCAUUUGGAUAUAUCUUAGCUGUGUUUGUGCCCUCACUCAUGGUCCAGACUUUUUUCAAAUAGGACAUGGAGUUUUUCUGCAGCGAGCGUUUUGGUAGAAACUGCGCCUCCCGUUCAUUAUAAUGGUAAAUGACCACAAACAAGUGCGCACACCAUCUUUGGACCUUGAGUGUGACACGAUCGGGUGGGGGAGGCGGUCGCGCUGGGGGCGGCGUGACACGGCUCGGGCCCGCCAGUGCCCCAACGGGGCCCUAGUUGUACUUGUUUUUGUUCUUUUUUGCAUUCAGGAUGGCACAACGAAAUUUCGUUGCUUUGUGCAAUGACAAAUAAAGUCUAUUCUAUUCUAUUCUAUUCUAUUCUAAACACUUGAUGGCUGAUAUCUCAUUGCGGCCAUCUUGCCAUAAUAGUAGCUCAUAAUAGUAGCUUGUAAACAUAAUCAAUACCAAAGGUCUUCAAAACCAUACAUAGGUCCUUGGUAACUUUUGACACAGCAGUGGAUCCUGAGUCAGGUUGGGUCUAGCUUAUUGUGGCCUCUAAGAAAUGCAACCCCUACGAAAUGGCAUUCAGCACAUUUCUUGUGUUUUGUUGUCCAUGGUAUAAAAAUACUGAUACAAAAGUCAGCUCCCUCCCUUUUUGGACUGUCUAAAAAAGCCAGCUACAUCACAAAACUCUGCCUUUGACAUCCUCUUGUCAGUUUGAGAGAGCACUCAAAGAUAUGACUGUUUCAGAUUGCUGAAUGCCCUGGCUUCUGCCUGUAACUGUGAUGGUUUGUAGCCUUAUCGGUACCACAGCUUAAAAAAUCACAAACUGUAAUUCAGAACCAGAAUCAGCUUUAUUAGUCAGGUCCUUGCACAUACAAGGCAAUUGACUCCCGCCGAUCAAACGCUCUAUGUUAAAACAUUUAACAUGAAAUGUUACACAAUAUUAUACAGAUAUUUAACCUAUAUAUACAAGACUGUUGUAGGCAGUAGUGCAAUGGUGAGCAGUGCAAAGGAAUUAUUCUGAAUCGGCUGGGCCUUGGCUGUACAGACAGUAUAAAUCAAGCAUCCAUGGCGGGUAAUCAAUUGAUUAUCGUCUUGAAAUUCAAUCAUCUAUCUGUAUUGAUUCUGUCUGUUGAAACUUUGGUGUCAAAUUUGGUGUGCUUUGUUUAGGCCAGUGUUUGAGUCCGAAGUAAAUAUGGCACUUAAUUAUAUCAAAGGUAGCACCAGGUCAAAACUCAGUGUCUCCGUUAUUCACAACUUCUGACUGUAAGAGAAAAAAAGGUCCACAACACUACAACCCUACAAUCCAAAUUCAUGUAACCGAAGACCCUGCUGAGCAGCAAGAGUGCUUCUGUUUACACCUCUAUAUCAUUUAGGUUUAUCAUUUUUGUUGUCAAUGUCAGAAUAAAAGAGACUGAUGCCAAAAUGGACAUGAUAAGUUUGAAAUCAGAAGUUUCCGACCAAAUCAACCCAAAUGCCACAUGUUUAUAUUUUAAACUCAGUUUCUUACUUUUUAUUUCACAUAGACUUUUUCACUGAUGGUGAGACAGCUGUUGAUCACUUUUCCUGUCAUUUUAUAUUGUAAACUCACUCUUUAAUGUUAUUUAGGGCCCGAGCGUAGCUGCUAAGCAGCUGCGAGAGCCCUAUUAUUCCUGAUGGAUUCUUCUUUCUUCUUCUUCUUCUUAUUAUUUUUCUGCCCCUUUGAACUGGAAAAUGGCCCACUUCCCACUGGUGAAAACUCAUGAAAUUCGGCAGGACGACCGGGCCUGGUGAAAAAUUCGAUAUUCUGAAGUCACCCAAACAAUCAAAUGCAAAAUGGCUCCAUAGCGCCCCCUAAGGUGAAAAAUUCACAUGAUUGAGUGUCACGCCUGUACGCUUUGUCAAAAUGACACAAAAUUUGACACACACGUGUAUCUCAAUAAGAUCUACAAAAAAGUCAGUGCGGGCGUAUCUGUCAAAUGUACGUUUAAAGGGCUAUUUCGCAUUUUUUGCCGAUCCGCACACAUUGGAAUUUCGCUAACUCCUCCGAAGGCUUUCGUUCCACCGGCACCAAAUUUGCUCAGGCCAAUCUAACCCCCAUGGCCAUUCAAAGUUGUACAAAUCAUGACGCUGCACCCCACGGUUUACGUUGUACGGGGCGCCAAAGAUAACCCAAAAAUCCACAUUCUUACAAGUCUUAUAACUUUUUAUUUCUGUCAUCACUGGCCUCCAAGUUUUCUAGGAUGAUGCAAUGUCCAGCCAUCAACACAUUUGUGAAGGAAUUUUUACUCCCCAAAAGAGCGCCCCCCCAUGGCAGGAGAAAAAAGUCCAUUUUUUCUUGUCCUAUAAGGUGAAAAUACACAUUGUUGAGUGUCACGCCUGUACGCUUUGUCAUAUUGAAACAAAAUUUGAUAAUCACGUGUAUCUCAAUAAGAUCUACGAAAAAGUCAACGCGCACGUGUCUGCAAAAUGUACGGUUAAAGGGCUAUUUCGCAUUUUUGGUUGAUUCGCACACAUUGGAAUGUGGCUAACUCCUCCUAAAGCUUUCGUUCCACCGGCACCAAAUUUGCUCAGGCCAAUCUACACCCCAUGGCCAUUAAAAGUUGUACAAAUCAUGAUGCUGCACCCCACGGUUUACGUUCUAGGGGUCGCCAAAGAUAACCCAAAAAUCCACAUUCUUAAAAGUCUUAUAACUUUUCAUUUUUGUCCUCACUGGCUUCAAAGUUUUCUAGGAUGAUGCAAUGUCUAGCCAUCAACACAUUUGUGAAGGAAUUUUUUCUCCCUAAAAGAGUGCCCCCCCAUGGCAGGAGAAAAAGUCAAGUUUUUCCUGCCCAUCGCUCAAUGGCUCAAACACAUCGCUCUCUCGGAAAAAAACGAAAGGAGGAGGAACUUGCCAUUUGGAUAUAUCCUAGCUGUGUUUGUGCCCUCACUCAUGGUCCAGACUUUUUUCAAAUAGGACAUGUAGUUUGUCUGCAGCAAGCGUUUUGGUAGAAACUGCGCCUCCCAUUCAUUAUAAUGGUAAAUGACCACAGACAAGUGC